AAAAAUCAGGGGAAAAAGGUGCAGUUAAAGGUACUAAUGUAAUAGGGGUCAUAGUGAUAUAGGAGCAAUGACAUGAACUUAAAUAUUAUAAGAUAAUAUUUUCAGUGUCAGAAUUUUAUGUAAUACAAUAAAUAAUAAUAAUUAAUGUGAUAUCUUAAUUGAUUAUGAAAUUUUCUCUGGCUUACUUGUCUGCAAAUUCACCAAUAUUUACCCUGUCAUUUUAUUUUCAUUUUCAGUAGAUGAGAAAUUCACUUCAUGCAGUUUCUUUUUCACUAGAUAGGAGUGAAAGCAACAUGAGUCACUCUUGGCAAAUGCAAGAUCUCAAACAGAUUUUGAUCAUUUUCAUUUUGGAGAAGAUCUCUCUGUUGAUGCAACUAUUAAGAAUGUUUUAUAGGCUGUGACAAUGCUAAGAUAACUUUCUAAUAAAUUAUUUUGAAAUAUAA